GAUGAACGCUAGCUAUAGGCUUAACACAUGCAAGUCGAGGGACCGGCGCACGGGUGUGUAACGCGUAUCCAACCUGCCCAUAACUAAGUGAUAACCCAGCGAAAGGUGUACUACUACCUUAUGGUUAUGGAUGGGGAUGCGUUUGAUUGGCUUGUUGGCGGGGUAACGGCCCACCAAGGCAACGAUCAUUAGGGGUUCUGAGGGGAAGGUCCCCCACAUUGGAACUGAGACCCGGUCCAAACUGCUACGGGAGGCAGCAGUGAGGAAUAUUGGUCAAGGGACGCAAGUCUGAACCAGCCAAGUAGCGUGCAGGAUGACGGGCUAUGGGUUGUAAACUGCUUUUAUAUGGGGAUAGGUACCAUAUGAAUAAGGACCGGCUAACUCCGUGCCAGCAGCCGCGGUAAUUC
rnacentral:rRNA from 1 species